AGUCCAGUUCCAAUGCCUCUGACACAGGUAGAAAGAAGAAACACCGAAACAAAUUUGUACAAGUGCAGCAUUUGUGUAGCAUUUCUUUUGAUGUGUGUUUUGUGCAGAUGAAACAAACAUUAAAAUUUUCAGAGAUUUCUUUUAUAACAGUAAAUGUGUCCUAUUUGUUUCCAGCUCUUUGACAUUGGACAAAUUUUUAUUGUUGCUUGAUCAUCAGGGUGUCUGCGUUUGAUCUCGUGAAAGUUUCAGAAUGGGCCUGGCGCGGUGGCUCAUGCCUGCAAUCCCAGCACUUUGGGAGGCCAAGGUGGGCGGAUCACCUGAGGUCAGGAGUUGGAGACCAGCCUGACCAACAUGGAGAAACCCCGUCUCUACUAAAAAUACAAAAUUAGCCGGGCGUGGUGACGCAUGCCUGUAAUCCCAGCUACUCGGGAGGCUGAGGCAGGAUAAUUGCUUGAACCCGGGAGGCGGAGGUUGCGGUGAGCCGAGGUCGUGCCAUUGCACUCCAGUCCAGCCUGGACAACAAGAGUGAAACUCCGUCUCAAAAAAAAAAGUUUCAGAAUGAUGGCCAAAACAACAUUUCUCAUUUAGCAUAGUAACACAGAUCUUCGUGGGAGGUAAGCAGCAGCUUAUUUUUUCAUAGUUCUUAAUUUUAAUGCAUCUUUUAAGUACAUCGGCCUUCAGGGUUAUCCGUAUUUUGUACUGAUGUGGGUACUAUUGGGUGUGACAUGUUUCAGGAAGAUAGGUAAGGACUUGGCCCAUAUUUUCAGAAGAAAAAAAGUCAACAUUAUGGGCAGCCAAUGCUUAAAUCUCCACUUCCCAUUUUUAAGAAGUGUCUAUGGCCACCCCUCUUUCCCAUACAGAUUCUGAAAGAUUGAAGGAGGUUGGCACAGGGGAUAAGAAGUCCCAGCAGGCUAUUUCUUUCAUGAUUUAUUUUUUUACUUCCUGACAUCUCUGAUGCUUAUUUUGACCUGAUAUCACCUGUGAAAUGUUGUUAGGGGACACAGGUGUGCUCACUAUUGUGCUUUGUGUCCUCCCUGCCCACGCAUCUCCAGAGAGGGUUAUGCAAACCAAAUACAGUUAUUUUAUACUUUUCAAUUCCAGUGAAGUCAUGAGAUGCUUUGUUAGAAAUGCUUCUAGGAAAAAAAUAAAAUUAACCCAGAUUAAAUUUUAGUUAUCAUUGCCAACUUCUCAUCUUUUGUAACUUCAUUAGGAAAUUUUAUGAAAAGCUUCUUACCGACCUCUUUAUAAACAUUUUUUGCCUUUUCCACAAAAUGUUGUCUUAAAAUUUAUAUAGAAUAAAAAUCUUAACUGGCUUUAACAUGGUGAUUAUGAAUGGAUUUUGCAUACUCUUAAAAUGAGUUCUUCAUAAACCAAUUAACUAAUUGUAGGUUAAUUUGAUAACCCAACUGGGUUAUCAAAGAAGUUUCCCUUAUGUGGACAUAGUUUUUGUACUGAAUGUAUCUAUAUAAGCUACUUUAAAUCAUUUCUGAAUUUCUUAUUGUUAAGAAAUAAGUGACAUUUGGCUGGGUACAGUGGCUCACACUUAUAAUUCCAGCACUUUGGGAAGCCGAUGCAGGCGGAUCACUUGAGGUCAGGAGUUUGAGACCAGCCUGGCCAACAUGGUGCAACCCUGUCUCUGUUAAAAAUACAAAAAAAUUAGCCGAGUGUGAUGGCAGGCACCUGUAAUCCCAGCUACUUGAGAGGCUGAGGCAGAAGAGUCCCUCGAACCCAGGGGGCAGAGCUGAGAUCUCGCCACUUCACUUCAGUCUGGAUGACAGAGUGAGACUCUGACUCAAACAAACAAACAAUCACACAAAAAGAAAUAAAUAAGUGACAUUUCCCCCACCUAAAAUCAUGGCAUCCUUUUUAGUUAGCCAUGUGGAUUCCAUGAUACUGAACUUGACAUGAAAAAUCUUGAUAGUCAAAAAAAUCAUUGCAACUAUUAAACAAAUAUCUAUUUUUCCCAAUUCCUGAAUAAAAUAUUCAAACUAUACCAGUUAAUUUUAGUAAACUCACAUUAGGACAAAAUAUCAUAAGAAAAAUUUUGAAGCAUAUCCAACAUUUUGACAGAUUAACACCAAACCAUAUCUUACACAAAUGAAUCAAUUUUAUUUGUUUGAAUUCUACAGAACACGAGUUUCUACAUUUAGGGAUGCUUUGAAACAGAAUUCUUUUCAUUGAACUGGUUGAAUCAAUGUCAUACAGUGAGUUCUGUGCAUGUGCCCUGUGGGACUUAGACUUGGAAAAAUCCUAAUUUGGGAAUAAGAGUGACAAGAACAGGGGAGAAUUCCUCACAUGGAGAAAAAUAUUGGAAGCCCUCUCCUUGAAGUUAGCUAUAAUUAGGGAUGGAGAGUUUGAGCCAAGAUGGCCGAAUAGGAACAGCUCCGGUCUACAGCUCCCAGCGUGAGUGACGCAGAAGACGGGUGAUUUCUGCAUUUCCAUCUGAGGUACCGGGUUCAUCUCACUAGGGAGUGCCAGACAGUGGGCGCAGGCCAGUGGGUGCACGCACCGUGCGCGAGCCGAAGCAGGGCUAGGCAUUGCCUCACUUGGGAAGCACAAGGGGUCAGGGAGUUCCCUUUCUGAGUCAAAGAAAGGGGUGACGGACGCACCUGGAAAAUCGGGUCACUCCCACCCGAAUAUUGCGCUUUUCAGAACAGCUUAAAAAACGGCGCACCACGAGAUUAUAUCCCACACCUGGCUCAGAGGGUCCUACGCCCACAGAAUCUCGCUGAUUGCUAGCACAGCAGUCUGAGAUCAAAC
rnacentral:lncRNA from 10 species